rnacentral:misc_RNA from 1 species
AUUAAUAGUAUAUAUUUAUACUAUUAAGAAUAAUAAAAUUAUUCCCCACAAAGCAUGGAUAUACGACUAGUGGAAAUAUAAAACUCAUCCAUACCCAACCUAUUAGACUCAACAGAAAGCAAUUGAAGAAUAGGAAAUUCAAUAUACAAAACUAGAAAAGUUUAAAGUUUUUCUUCCGCUUAAAUGGAGCCUUUGCAUUAGCAGAACCAAGGGACUUUAGCAAUAGGCAAGUACACAAAAAUAGAGGUCAUGGCUUGCAGUCUAUGGCAAUAUAACAAAACCAGAUAGAAAUCUAUCUGAGGCCAGAAAAUGUGUGCCUGAACAAAAAGACAUGAAGAUCAGUAGCUAAUUGUCAAAUCAAAGUUGCCAAUCUAUUGGAGGAAUUCCCAUUUUCUCCAAAAGCUUGUUCGUCUGAGAAAAAUGCCUGCAACCAAAGAAGCCUUUGUUUGCAGAUAAACCAGAAGGAUGUGCUGCCUUCAGAAUGUAAUGUUUUGUCCCGUCAAUUAACCUGUGCAACACCAUUCUUAUAAGCACAACAAGCACUUUAUGCAUUCAAAAGACAAGUCCGAGAAACAUUCUUCUAAUGUGUUCAUCCAACAGAACUUUAAGUAAUCUGGGUCAUUGAAUAAUUGAUGAAAUGAUAUUAAUUUGCACUUUUGAAUCUUUGUCAUCCUAUAUUAGAUUUUCAUGCACUUACAUUUCUAAUUUAUUUGGCUCAAAUAAUUAACUCUACAAGCUUCAAAAUAAUAGAAAAGGCAGAUCACAGGAUAAGACUGGCAGGCCAAAUUAGUGCCAGAAGGAUUGUACUUCUGGGAUUUUUUAUUUAUUUAUUUAUUUGAAGCAAACAACUGGAAAUUAUAUAUUACUAACAUCAAAUAACAGUACAUCACAGAGGAAGGAUGCAGGUGAAUUCCCCAUUCAACCUAACCACACAUUGAAACAGCCACUCUAGCCAUUGCAUGAGUGGCUUGUGAUUUCUUCUCAAAACUACACCUACUAUUAGGGAGCUCCAUAAGUAGAGCUUUACAAUCAUCACCAUGUGACCAAAAUAAGAAAGCAAAGAAGAAGAACCAGUAAUAGCAUGAAAUAAACUUAGAGAAUCUGUCUCCAAGAUGCUUUAACCAACCGAGAGCUUCCCUAGCUGCUAAAGCUUCUGCCACAUCAACUUCAAGAGGCCCAGAAUACUGCAAUUGCAAGCCUCCUAAAAGAAAGCCCCAGUGAAGCCCCGAAGCAAGCAACCGAAACCACAGCAGCGCUGUCCCAUAGUCAAAGCAGCAUCUACAUUGCAUUAAUAAAACAAAGAAGUCGGCAGUAACCAUUUAGCAACAAAAGGAGGUCAGCUAAUGCAUUGUCCCAGUCUACAUUGCUGCGCCUGCUGCCAAUCUGUUAAGUGCGUCUUAUCCUGUUGAACAACAAUAUCCUCAAGCACCCUCUUCCCUUCCCAAACCAAGGAAUUUCUGAACUACAGUAUGCUCUAAAGAAUCAUAAAAACCAGCUCAACUUGUUCUUUGCUUCCCUGUUUAAGGCAUCUUGAAGGUCUCAUAAAUCAAUUCAUUUGAAGGCAAAACUGUCCUCAUUCGGGACCUCUCCAGGUGAACAGAUUUAGGUGUGGUUAAUGAACAUAUAGGCUCAUUUCUCCCAAAUCCAGCAAGCCACUUCUGUUCUUAGAUGGUAGAGAUAACAGAGCAGUUGGGGACGAGACAUCCAUUUACAGUCACAUGGUCAAUUUUAGGGAUUAUGUUCCAUUUUUAAGAAAUUUGGCCUUAAAUGAGCUAUUUUAAAAUAAAUAUGAGCCUGAUUGACUGUUCUUUUUUGACAGGAGCCUAAAUGACUAUUGGACUUUUCUUUAAAGGCCAAAAUAAGCCAUUUGCCGAACUAAAAACUAAAGAAAAG